GAGCUUGUGGCGCAACCGAUAACGCGUCUGACUACGGAUCAGAAGAUUCCAGGUUCGAAUCCUGGCAAGCUCG
rnacentral:tRNA from 1 species